rnacentral:rRNA from 1 species
AGUGAACGCUGGCGGUAGGCCUAACACAUGCAAGUCGAACGGCAGCACAGUAAGAGCUUGCUCUUACGGGUGGCGAGUGGCGGACGGGUGAGGAAUACAUCGGAAUCUACUUUUUCGUGGGGGAUAACGUAGGGAAACUUACGCUAAUACCGCAUACGACCUACGGGUGAAAGCAGGGGAUCUUCGGACCUUGCGCGAUUGAAUGAGCCGAUGUCGGAUUAGCUAGUUGGCGGGGUAAAGGCCCACCAAGGCGACGAUCCGUAGCUGGUCUGAGAGGAUGAUCGGCCACACUGGAACUGAGACACGGUCCAGACUCCUACGGGAGGCAGCAGUGGGGAAUAUUGGACAAUGGGCGCAAGCCUGAUCCAGCCAUACCGCGUGGGUGAAGAAGGCCUUCGGGUUGUAAAGCCCUUUUGUUGGGAAAGAAAAGCAGCAGGUUAAUACCCCGCUGUUCGGACGGUACCCAAAGAAUAAGCACCGGCUAACUUCGU